rnacentral:sRNA from 1 species
UUUAGAUACUAUAGCCAUAUGAAGUUGAACAUGGCAGAAGAAGAGGACUAUAUGUCUGAUUCCUUCAUUAAUGUCCAGGAAAAGUGGCAUUGGUCACGAGGCAUCAUUAAAACGGAAAGCAGAGGAAAAAUUGGAAAGCUACAGAAAAAAGAUUCACAUGAAAAACCAAGCUGAAGAAAAAGCUGCAGAACAGUUUCGAAUGCGACUUAAAAAUAAGCAAGAUGAAAUGAAGCUAGAAGGAGAUCUCAGAAGAAGCCAGCGAGCCUGUCAACAAUUGGAUGCCCAGAAAAAUAUUCAGGUUCCCAGGGAAGCAUGGUACUGGUUGAGGCUUGAAGAGGAGACUGAAGAAGAUGAAGAAGAAAAAGAACAGGAUGAAGAUGAAUAUAAGAGUGAAGAUUUAAGCGUAUGCUUUGCACCAUUUCCUUCAUAGGGUGUCUCAGCCUUGGCAACAUUAACACUUUGAGUUGUGGUAAUCCAUUGUUGUGGGGAGCUGUAUUGUGCAUUGCAAGAUGUUUAGCAGCAUCUCUGGCCC